UCCGAGUUGACCCCGGCAGUCUCUUACGAGUCCCCACCAUAACGUGCUGGCAACAUAAGAUAGGGGUUGCGCUCGUUGCGGGACUUAACCCAACAUCUCACGACACGAGCUGACGACAACCAUGCACCACCUGUGCACGGCCCUUACGGACCCCGCAUCUCUGCGAGAUUUUCGUGCAUGUCAAGCCUAGGUAAGGUUCUUCGCGUUGCAUCGAAUUAAAGAACAUGCUCCGCUGCUUGUGCGGGCCCCCGUCAAUUCUUUUGAGUUUUAGCCUUGCGGCCGUACUCCCCAGGCGGAACACUUAUCGCGUUGGCUGCGGCACAGAGGGAUUCGACUCCCCCCACACCUAGUGUUCAUCGUUUACGGCUGGGACUAC
rnacentral:misc_RNA from 1 species